UUAGCUCUCUUUGCCUUUUGGCUUAGAUCAAGUGUAGUAUCUGUUCUUUUCAGUUUAAUCUCUGAAAUUCGACUACGGUCGAAACAUUGAUUAUACUUAUUUUUGUCUUUGGGAGGAUGGUCUCUGGGCUUGCCCAUGCCGUCUUCCACCGUGUCUCUGGUAUUACACUGCCUCCAGACGAUGCGAACCUUU
rnacentral:snRNA from 1 species